AAAAAAAAAAAGAAGAGAAGAAAUGAAGAAGAAGGGAAGAGAGAGAGAUGGCCAAGAACCACCGUUUGCAACGAAGAACAGGAAGCAGAAUGCACUGGCCAGAAGCCCACCGCAGGGGGAAUUCGAUUCGCUGCCACUAGGUGCUGGAAAUCGUAAUUUUUCGACGGGUUUUCCAAACGACCCGCGAUCCGUGACUGCGAAGCUACUUUGGGGAUCGAUUUAGAGCCUCAAAUCAACCUGUUUUGCAAAAACAUUUGUGUUCAAGUAUGUGGUUCGCCUGCGUAUGUAAGAGGAAGAAAACGCCAUGUCCAGUUAUGGCUACGGAUGAACAACGAGGUGAGUGCGGGUACACACGGUGAUGCCUGCGAGAUCUGCAAGUUCUAGCAUGCUUGACGACAGCGAUGACGCCACAAGAAUGCAACUGUGUGGAUGUUUUCCCAGAGGCCACCACCCGUGCCUCUUUUUAGUGUCAAAAACAGGAAGAAUUAGUUUUCCUAGAUUUGAUUCCGAUAAUAGAACUUUACUAAUGAACGUUUGUAGCUUGUUUAGGUAUAUUGAAUUUGGAUUGCAAUUAGGGCUUAGGACGAAACAGUGCUUUAUUCGAGGUAAG